rnacentral:sRNA from 1 species
CCCCGGCCUAGGCCCUGCCUGAUCCGCAGUGCCGAAAAGCGCAUUGCCCGUGUGCCUGGCCUGGGCACUUCUACCGGG